rnacentral:rRNA from 1 species
AGUGAACGCUGGCGGUAGGCCUAACACAUGCAAGUCGAACGGCAGCACAGUAAGAGCUUGCUCUUACGGGUGGCGAGUGGCGGACGGGUGAGGAAUACAUCGGAAUCUACUUUUUCGUGGGGGAUAACGUAGGGAAACUUACGCUAAUACCGCAUACGACCUACGGGUGAAAGCAGGGGAUCUUCGGACCUUUCGCGAUUGAAUGAGCCGAUGUCGGAUUAGCUAGUUGGCGGGGUAAAGGCCCACCAAGGCGACGAUCCGUAGCUGGUCUGAGAGGAUGAACAGCCACACUGGAACUGAGACACGGUCCAGACUCCUACGGGAGGCAGCAGUGGGGAAUAUUGGACAAUGGGCGCAAGCCUGAUCCAGCCAUACCGCGUGGGUGAAGAAGGCCUUCGGGUUGUAAAGCCCUUUUGUUGGGAAAGAAAAGAAGCAGGUUAAUACCCCGCUGUUCUGACGGUACCCAAAGAAUAAGCACCGGCUAACUUCGUG